rnacentral:rRNA from 1 species
AAGAGCUCAAAUUUUGAAAGCUGGUACCUCCGGUAUCCGCGUUGUAACCUCGAGACACGUUUUCCGUGCGGCGCUAUGGACAAGUUCCUUGGAACAGGACAUCGUAGAGGGUGAAAAUCCCGUACUUGCCAUGGAUGUACCGUGCUUUGCGAUACGUGCUCUAAGAGUCGAGUUGUUUGGGAUUGCAGCUCAAAAUGGGUGGUAGACUCCAUCUAAAGCUAAAUAUCGGGGAGAGACCGAUAGCGAACAAGUACCGUGAGGGAAAGAUGAAAAGCACUUUGGAAAGAGAGUUAAAAGUACGUGAAAUUGUCGAAAGGGAAGCGCUUGAAGUCAGCCAUGCCGCUCAGGACUCAGCCUGGCUUUUGCUUGGUGUAUUUCCUGGGUAGCAAGUCAGCAUUGGUUUGGAUCGUCGGAGAAGCAUAGUCGGAAUGUGGCGCCCUCGGGCGUGUUAUAGCCUUCUAUUGGAUACGACGAUCUAGACCAAGGAACGCAGCGCGCCUUAUGGCGGGUCUUCGGACACCUUCGCGCUUAGAUGCUGGCAAAAUGCGUGUAAGGUGG